rnacentral:lncRNA from 1 species
UAGGGUUUUGAUGGAUGAAAUUUGGGCAAUUUUGUUGGGUUUUCUUCUGAAAGGUUGAGUGUGGAUUGAAAGUUAUGACCGAGGUUGGUUCUCUGUGGACCAUUAAUGAUCUUAGGUGAGGAAGACAACCGGAAGGCGACGGGUCUCGUCAGUGCUACGAAAGAAACGAACUACGAUGGAAAACAAAAAGAGGAGAACAACGGUGGAUCAUGGAUGUUUGGUGGCAUAAGAAAUGACGAAUAUGACCCUGAUUUGAAAUUUUAUGACCUUAAGCAUACAGGUCGAAACCUACCAGCGCGGGCCCAACAUCAUCAUGCUAAUUGACAUACAGUUUUGAACAAAAUAUUCACUCAUAUAUAUACACUUUAUACUUUAUUUACAUUCUGGCAAAAAGUGAUGAAUCUCCCAAGCGAAGUAGUCUUCUUCUUAAUUGUCCUUGAAAAAAAAAACACCUGCACAAUCACAAAGUAAUGACCAUUUAUCAAUGUUCAUAUGAAAGUAGACUAAGUACAGACUUGUCUCAGUAAUAUAGUUCUUGUAGAUUUUAUAAUAAGAUAAAAAAAUUAGAUGUCUUAGAUGAGACAGCUAAAAAAUUUAAAAUGGAGCGGUACGCUUAAAACUUUAUUGCAGAUUUCAUCUUUAAAUCGCAUCUCUUUUCCAAUAUUUUUGCACAUGAAGUUACAAUUGUGUUUGUUUAACAAAGAGAGAUCAUUUAUUGAAGAGACUACUUAAACUAACAAAGGUCAAAAAGUGUAAUAGAAAUGAUCAUGCAUGCCAAAGAAGUGAAGAAAGCUAGUAGAUACUGAAGGUAGCAGUAAGACAGGUCAAAAGUGAUGAGUAAGGAACAAAGAGUAGGAUUUUAAAGUUUUCAAGGUAGAAGAAAGUAAGUGACCAAAUAGUUUUCAAAGUACAUUUCUAGUUACUGUAAAUAUCAAGUAGGCCAAGUAAACUUUCGACUUUGCAGAACAAUCCAAUGACAUGGAGGUUGUUUCAUCACUUCCGAUCUAAGCAUAUCUUAGCUUGUCUAUUGCAAGCUCUACCAUCUUUCCAAAAAUGUUUCCUAAGUUGAGUUCCUGGGAUUUCACAUUGAAGUUACACGUCGUGAAGUACAGUUAUAUGCUCUUACAACAUGAACAUAUGAAUAUCUCCUUGUAAGUUUACCUUUUCUAUUCGAUCCAGGAAUAACAUCAAUUAUUUAACUACUUUUCUGAUACAAUAUUAUUGUGCACUUGAUUCUUUUUUGAGAUGAAGGAAUUUAAAUAACGCUGGUAUUUCUAGAUCAUUGACACCAAACAUACCUAAGUUAACUACACUCAGUUACCUAUAAGUAAGCAAUCUUUUAUCAUAUUACACGGCUCAGUUGUCAUCUACCAAUGAUUACACUAAUUCAAAAGUUUACUCAUUUAAAGGUGGCUUGGAACCAAUGAAUUUAUAGGUCAUAUAUUUAAUUUGACCUUUCAAGAACCUACAAACUCGGUAAGUUCCCAUUUAUUUUUCUUCUUCCUACCAAUCUUACUGCAUUAUUUUUAACUUAAAUGAAAGGCUGAAAAUUUCUCCUCCUGCCAUGGAAAAGACACUUGGAGGAGAAAAACCAUUUACAAUCACCACCCCUUGAAUCAUUAGGACAACUGCCGAAACUUCGAGAAGUGUAUGCUCCUCGCUGUUAAAUUUCAUAUUUAUUUUGUAUAUUUGAUGAAUAAAUUUUAGCUCUAAGUCUACAAUACGUUAGUGAAACUUAGAUUUCUACUCACAUAGAAUUUUAAUUCACCUUAUGUAUUGCCGACACUGAUAAAGGUAUUUUCUAAUAUUAUAGAAACAUCACCUAACUGCCGAGUGUAGGUUUUUCUCAUAGUAUAGAAAUGUCAGUCAAGGCAGCUUCAGCUGAAAAAUUAUAAGUAUAAAAUUAGCUUUGUCAACAAUGAGAAGCCUAAAAUAAAUUAUAUUUUAGCUGAGCAAGCAUUUAAGUGCAUUUCUUUACCUUUUCACAUACAUGAUAUAUCUCAUCUAGAGUGCUGACAUUAUUAGAGGAAAUACCACCUGCAAAGUAAGACAAAGUUAAACAACUUAUUAGUAUUACGAUGCAACAACAAAAAAAAGACAAAAAGAAAAUUGAUCUUGAUUCAAUAUACUAAAAUAGAGACAUGCAUCAAAUUGGCCCAAGAUUUGGAUUACAUGGUGUAAAAAAUAACUUGUCGUACAGUAAAGGAGCUUACCUCCAAUAUCUCCAGAUUUAAGCUCUCUUUCUCAUGUGCGAAAGUAUUUUUCCUACCUUCUAUGAAACACCACACCACACAUUCAGAGUAGAGAUUAUUAUGAAAUAUUUGCUUUCUUGAUAUUAGUCACUCCGUUUUUGAAUCUUGAGGUUAUUUCUUGUACCUUCCUUUUGAAAUCUCCACUAUCUUCCAUCAAUUCUGAAUGCAUCAAAAAAAUGUUAAUGUCUAUGUUGCUUCUCUAGUUCACUAAUACAAUCUUAUCUAAUUCUCCAAUUCGGUGCGCACAAGAAAACUACAUCUUAGUCAUCAACCUCACAAUUCUUUUCAUAAAGAAAGUGAGAAGCUCCAAUCUGUCAUUUUUUUUUAUUCAACAAAAUUACAGAGGAUCCACCUAAUUGAAUAGAAUUUUCCUCAUCUUUUUCUUUUCCCUAGCCUAUUUCUUUCGUUGCGAAUAAAGGGAACCAUCAAAUCAAAAGGUCUUCUACCAGGUGUUUUCUUAGAAACUCAAUGCCAUGCAAUGCUGUUAUUGUUCUACCACAAAUUUUAAUUGUCGGUCUUUCAAAUUGCAGGUUUCUUUUUAUUUCCAUCACACCUAAACGAACAAUAGACUGCCAUUUCACCACGUGAUUGUAGAAAUUCAUGAAAAUUUAGCAAAUCAGACACAAUUAUAUAAAGCUUAACUGCAAGGAGCUUCUCCUCCAAGAACAAAAAGGACCAGAAUAUAUUUGAAUCUGAAAUUCUUUACAUUGGAUUUAAAUUUCCAGUCCCCACUUUAAAUUGAUUCUUGAAAAUUCAGUUUCUUUCAUUCGUGAAGAAGAAAACAAAGACAUAAAAUCCAAAUAGUUACAACCACAAUCCUCAAAUCUCGCUCUGCAACUAUCUCUCAUGCACUAUGUGGUGAAAAUAGAAAACAUGAUAGAGGUGUAAAAAACUACAAGUGCUAACAGUGUCAAAUAUUCGUUGGCAAUUCUAUAUUUUCUCCCUUACCUCCGAAGGAUGGAAAAGACCAGAGAUGCAUGAAAUCAAAUAGAUAAUUCAAUUCAUUGAAGAUUUUUAUCAAAAAUUACGUCAUGAAAAGAAAGAAACAGCUGGUCGGUUGCGGUCAAUGGUUGUAGAAAAAACACCAACUAUAUGAAAAUAAUAGUAAAAAGAAAUUAGCAGCACAUAUAUCUUACACUAAGAAUGGAACCUGCAAAACUCAAGCAGCAGAACCCUUGAAAUUGGAGAAUCUGAUGAAUUCUUAAACCUCAAUAGUGCAAGGGAAAAGCCUCCUUCAAAUUAGCUAGAGAGACAUGUCCAUUGAGCUACCAAUCUUGUUCCUUUCUUGACUUUUGUCGUUAAAUAAUACUUUUCAUGGCUAACUCUGAAAUUGAAUAAAAUACACAAUUACUUAUAUGUAAUAGCAGAUAAACCAAACAAUUUGACUGAAUUGACAUUAAAGUAAAGUGAAACUUAGACUCAACACAAAAAGAGAUACAUAGAGAGAGAUAGAAUCCAUAGUAAAACAGAAAAUCAGCAAGAAAUACCGAAGAGAGAAGAGCAAAGGCGAUAAGAAUGAGAAGACUAUGCGGUGGGUGUAGGAGUAAGAGACACGUAGAUAGCUGCUUUUCUAUAAUAUAGUAUAGAUAGGGAUUCCCACGCCAUAGGCACGGGCCCAACAUCACUUUAUGUUUCAGUUUAUGUAAACAUUAAUUUAGAGCUCUAGUUAGAGAGAAAAUACCAGUAUAAAUUACAAUAAGCUCAGAAAAAGGUCAUACAUGAAUACUCAUGGCAACAUAUAUGAAACAAAAGGCAAAAUAAUUAUAUAAUCGCCAAUUGAAAUGCAAGGAUGAACAUAUACAAGCACAUGCUUGCAUGUAAUUCACGUCUGUUGCACUACCGGACGUGCUUAAGUAGGAGCAGGAUGCCAAGUCUAUAAGAAGUGCCGAAAUUUUUUGUAAUAUUUUUACCUGUGCAAGAGCAAAAGGCACGGUUAGCUCACAAUUAUUUUCCAAAAUAUAAUCCUACUUAUUCUAUUCUAUAAUUUAUUAUCUAUUUUAGGAAAUAAAAUAUCAAUGGAUUGAUAAUUCCUUACCUAUUUUUAUUUUGAUGUUGCAAUCUUAGUUUGAUCAUCUGAUACCAUUUUGUACCUUUGUCAGAAAUGUUGCAAUUGAAAUUCAAUAUUGAUAAAUGAAUUACUUGUAAUAGCGAAUAGUGAUGCUGCUAUAAAACACGCCUUAAUCCCUAUUCAUAUAUGUAAUGCUUAAAUAAAAAAUUGAAUGUUUAACGUAUAGUUUUCGUUGUUUUGCAUAAGCACGAUCUUGAAACUAUAUUUUAUAUAUAUAUAGAGAAGUGCACAUGAAAGAAAGUAAGAAGCUACUUAUAGGGCCAACUAUUGAGUUUUCCAAUCCCAUCAAGUACAUAAAUUGUCUAAUUUCUUUAUGCUUUAGCACAUGUGCGUAAUACAAAUUAUCAGAAUGGAAAAAAGUAGAAAGUAACACAUCCGUACAUCACAAUUAUUAAAAGAAAUAUUUUUUAGAAAUUCUCUUUAAAUUCUUGAUUGUAACAUACUUUACAGUCUAUUCACCUAAAUUAUUGUGUUAAUUCCAUACAUUUUAACAAAAUAGGAGGGAUAAUGUAUGUGCAAAUGAAGUCUUCUGUACAGGAACUGCACUUGGUGUUGCACCAGGUGGAAGUAUCUAAAAAUAUCAAAUUUCGCUAUUUGUACCCUGUCGAAGUAAGGAACCAUGAUAGCUGAGAUAAAAGUAUUUGCUUGUGCUAGAAAAUGUUAUUCUGCAGCAUCAAAUCUUACGACGUUUAAGAGUCUUAUGGAAAAUGAAUUAUGUACCACUUCUCUCUUUGUGAUAUACGCUAUCUAAGGCAUUUCUCACUAUUUUUUCCACCAAGAUAUGAACGUUCCUGAUCUGCUCAAUUUAGGCGUUGUCCAUCUUUCUUUUAUUUGUAGGCAUAUAAAUUUAUUACUAAAAUAGAGACAUAUAUUAACACAAUAGCAUGAAAUAUAAAGCAUAACUAUUUAGCAUUAUGAAUAAGCAUAUGACAAUAGACUAAAGAAGUGCAUAAUCACCUAUUUAGUCGAAGUCAUGUAUUUUAGUAGAAGCAUUGUUUCUGCUUCCUAGGCCAGCACUUUGAAGAACCUGUGAAAUCAAAAUAGUGUGGCCAUUAUAUUUCCAACUAAAUUUAUCAAAAAAAAAAAACAUAGAAACAUGUACAAGAUGUACACAUAUAGGUUAACACUUAUAAAUUUACAUAUCCAGAACAAUGUCCUUCCUUAGACAUAAAGAUCUUUUUGAAUCAUUUUCUCUGUUCCUUAGACUUGGUCAUGAUUGGAAGUUUUUAACGCCAAAAAUUGGGGUGAAAAUUAGCCACUUUACGCCAUCGCUACAUUAUGCUCGACUCGACUUAUCAAUACUCUGCAUCAUUCAUUACUUGUUUUGUAGGUGCGCCACGAAGAAGUUCAUAGAAACGAAGCUCUAUAAAAUUAUGGUUUUUCCUACACGUAUAUCAGUAACAACUACUGAAUAGGAUAUCUAAUCAACGUUUUAAGGAAAUAAUGAAUGGAUCCUACAAAGGAGAUUUCAAAUGCCUCUGUUGUAAAGAAAUUCAGUGGUAGAAACUGUUGAAAUUUAUGCCGAUACAUAGUUAUGGCAGAUACUCCCAACAAUUCAAAUCUCAUCAACAUGUUCACCAAGCAUUGUCGCUGCAAAAACUUCACUUUCAGACAUUAACAAAAUUAUCACUUACUAUAUUCCCGUAGUAAAAUCAACAAACAGUAGCCCAGGUAAGUUGAACAAUAAGGUAAACAGAUACACAUUAGGAUACAACAGGUACAUCCAAUUGGGAUAAAAAUCAUAACACCAAAAUAUUAUUACACUUGAUUUUCUCAGGUAGAGAACUUCCCCUUUCUGCAUCAAUUUUGAAUCUAUAUAAUUAUUGGUGUCGCUAGAGAGCGUAUAUUUUUAAGAUAGUAAAAUAAAAAUAACAGAUACUUUAACAAACCGAGAAUACUACUCAGACUUCAGUUGUGCUGGCAAACUUCCGUUUUUUAUCUUUUAAGGAUAAAUUCAAGAAGCGCACCAAAAAACUUAGAUUUUCAUGUAACUAAACCAUUCAAUCAAACAUUACUGGAAAUAAUUCAUAUGCAAAAUAGCUAUCUAUAAGGAGUAGCAAUUUUUACCUCUUUUUUUGUUCCAAGUACUACUUCUCGUCUUCAUCUCCCGGCAUACAUGAAGUUUAUAGUCUAAAUCUGAAGGACAGAGAUCGAUUAACAAGCACAUGCAAAUUUGAAAUACCCCAAACAUUGCAACAAAAAUUGCAGAGCGAAAUUGGAAUCGAGAAAUUUUAAGGGCCUGAAUUAUACAAAUUGCAACAAUAAAUCGAGUUUCAACUGCUAAAUUAAAUUAAUUUAGCUGGAUACUGGAGGAAACAAUCCAAACCCAACAAUAGUUGAAGGAAAAGAACAGAAGAGUGAAACUAACCUUGUAACCCUGUGAUUAUCUUGAUGGAGCAAAUACCAAUGCUCUGGAAUCCAUGGAAAAAAGGAUGGAGAAGAUAUUGGGACUGGAUGGGAAAAGGAUGCGGUGGCUGAGAAGAAAACCAAGGUAUAGAGCUGAUGCUAAAUGAUUGAAUUACCCUCAAGCUUUUUUAAAAAGAUACUAAGCAGACAUGUGAAAAAACUUUCUCUUCUAAUAUAUAGAGAAGAGAACUAUA